rnacentral:rRNA from 1 species
CCCUUAGAGUUUGAUCCUGGCUCAGGAUGAACGCUAGCUACAGGCUUAACACAUGCAAGUCGAGGGGAAACGAUAGAGAAAGCUUGCUUUUUCUAGGCGUCGACCGGCGCACGGGUGAGUAACGCGUAUCCAACCUGCCCAUCACUUGGGGAUAACCUUGCGAAAGUAAGACUAAUACCCAAUGAUAUCUCUAGAAGACAUCUGAAAGGGAUUAAAGAUUCAUCGGUGAUGGAUGGGGAUGCGUCUGAUUAGCUUGUUGGCGGGGUAACGGCCCACCAAGGCGACGAUCAGUAGGGGUUCUGAGAGGAAGGUCCCCCACAUUGGAACUGAGACACGGUCCAAACUCCUACGGGAGGCAGCAGUGAGGAAUAUUGGUCAAUGGGCGAGAGCCUGAACCAGCCAAGUAGCGUGCAGGAAGACGGCCCUAUGGGUUGUAAACUGCUUUUAUAAGGGAAUAAAGUGAGCCUCGUGAGG